GGUCCCUAUUACCCCGGGGGCUCCAGGUGAAGAGUCAACCUGGACUGAGUCCUAGGAGGUGCAGCUGGAGAUAAUUGUGUUUGAUGAUGUAAUUUGUUGCAUGACCUUGGACUGCCUUAACGUCUUAAGUGUUAGAGGAGACCUAGGAUGUGGGAGAGGAUACAGACGGGGUGGUUUUUGAGAUGAGAACUAGCAAGGUCCCUCGAGUGAAGACUGGCGUGUUGGCCCUCUGCCUGGAAGAGCAGAGACUUGGAUCCUGAGGCUUUGCUGCAGGAAGCUUGAACACAGGUGGUGUCUUUGGUGGCUGUUCACCCUUCCACAGUAAACACGCUUGGGAAGCAACUUUGCCAAAAGCCUUCGGACAGUACAGCGUCAACACUGCAAGCCAAGGGGUAAGGCCCGCAGGGUCAGAACCGUCGCACCC
rnacentral:lncRNA from 1 species